rnacentral:rRNA from 1 species
UACAGAGGGUGCGAGCGUUUAAUCGGAAUACUGGGCGUAAAGCGCACGUAGUCGGCUUUGCAAGUCGGGUGUGAAAUCCCCAGGCUUAACCUGGGAACUGCAUUCGAGACUGCAUUGCUAGAGUAUGGGAGAGGGAAGUGGAAUUUCCGGUGUAGCGGUGAAAUGCGUAGAUAUCGGAAGGAACAUCAGUGGCGAAAGCGACUUCCUGGACCAAUACUGACGCUCAUGUGCGAAAGCGUGGGGAGCAAACAGG